rnacentral:rRNA from 1 species
CCUACGGGAGGCAGCAGUGAGGAAUAUUGGUCAAUGGACGCAAGUCUGAACCAGCCAAGUAGCGUGCAGGAUGACGGCCCUCCGGGUUGUAAACUGCUUUUAGUUGGGAAUAAAAGGGGGAUCGUGAGCCCCGUAUUGUAUGUAAAAUCAGAAAAAGGACCGGCUAAUUCCGUGCCAGCAGGCGCGGUAAUACGGAAGGUCCGGGCGUUAUCCGGAUGUAUUGGGUUUAAAGGGAGCGUAGGCCGGCUUGUAAGUCAGCUGUGAAAGUCCGGGGCUCAACCGGGGAAUUGCAGUUGAAACUGGAGGCCGUGAGUUCACACAGGGAACCCGGAAUUCAUGGUGUAGCGGUGAAAUGCUUAGAUAUCAUGAAGAACUCCGAUCGCGAAGGCAAGUGUCCGGGGUGCAACUGACGCUGAGGCUCGAAAGUGCGGGUAUCAAACAGGAUUAGAUACCCGAGUAGUC